AAUCACCAAAAUGUGGAAACAACCUAAAUGCCCAUCAACUCAGGAAUGGAUUAACAAACUGUAGUAUAUGUACACCACUGAAUACUACUCAGCCAUAAAAAGAUGGUGACUUCACAUGUUUUGUAUUAACCUGAAUGGAGUUGAAACACAUUCUCCUUAGUAAAGUAUCACAAGAAUGGAAAACCAAAUAUCUAAUGUUUCAAUACUAAUAGGAAGCCAGUAGAUGAGCUAAUACGCACCCACAUGAAAGAAAAACUCAAUUCAAGUUGGGGGGAGGAGGAAAGAGGCAGAUGGGAAAGAGAAGGGGGGGUUGGUGAGCUCCCACCUAAUGGACAUGAUGCGAAGGUACAUGGCACACCUUUUGGGGGAAGGACACAACUACAAGAGGGACUCUACCUAACAAAUGCAAAUACUGUAAUCUACUUGUUUUUGUACUCUCAUAUUAAUCUGAAAUUUAAAAAAAGAAAAAAUAAAGAAAUCACAGUCGGAUCCCGGCAGCAGCGGCAGUGGCUCACCUCCUCUCUGCUUCUCCUUGCCAUCACCCUUUCGCUUCCAGAAACAUGGCCUCUGGUGUGGCUGUCUCCGAUGGCAUCAUUAAGGUGUUCAAUGACAUGAAGGUGUGCAAGUCUUCAACGCCAGAGGAGGUGAAGAAGCACAAGAAGGCGGUGCUCUUCUGCCUGAGUGAGGACAAGAAGAACAUCCUCCUAGAGGAGGGCAAGGAGAUCCUGGGUGGUGAUGUGGGUCAGACUGUUGACGAUCCCUAGGUCACUGUUGUCAAGAUGCUUCCAGACAAGGACUGCCACUGUGCCCUCUAUGAUGCAACCUCCGAGACCAAGGAGAGCAAGAAGGAGGACCUAGUGUUUAUCUUUUGGGCUCCUGAGUGUGCACCCCUUAACAGCAAAAUGAUUUAUGGCAGCUCCAAGGACGCCAUCAAGAAGAAGCUGGCAGGGAUCAAGCAUGAAUUACAAGCAAACUGCUACGAGGAGGUCAAGGACCACUGCACCCUGGCAGAGAAGCUGGGGGCAGUGCUGUCAUCUCCCUGGAGGGCAAGCCUUUGUGAGCCCCCUCCUGCCCCCUGCCUGGAGCAUCUGGUAGCCCCAGACCUGCCCCCUUCCUGCCACACAGGAGGGACUGGGGGGAUCCCAGCAGGGGGAGAGCAAGCCCUUUACCCCAGUUGCCAAACAGACCCCCCACCCCUGGAUUUUCCUCCUCCCUCCAUUCCUGACAGUUCUGGCCUUCCCAAACCGCUUUUGAUCUUCUGAUUCUUUGUGGGUUGAAGCAGGCCAAGUUCCCCCCGGCCCCCCAGUUGGGGGGAGCCUGUAUUUUUUUUAACAAUACCCCUACACCUCACCUGUUCCUUCCCAUGCUGCCAACUUCUAACCGCAAUAGUGACUCUGUGCUUGUCUGUUUAGGUCUGUGUAUAAAUGCAGUGUUGUAGAGAUGACCCCUCCCUUUUCCCCUGGUCUUAGCCACUCCU